UACGUAGGGCACAAGCGUUGUCCGGAAUUAUUGGGCGUAAAGAGCUCGUAGGCGGUUUGUCGCGUCUGCUGUGAAAACCUAAGGCUCAACCUUGGGCUUGCAGUGGGUACGGGCAGACUAGAGUGCGGUAGGGGUGACUGGAAUUCCUGGUGUAGCGGUGGAAUGCGCAGAUAUCAGGAGGAACACCGAUGGCGAAGGCAGGUCACUGGGCCGCAACUGACGCUGAGGAGCGAAAGCAUGGGGAGCGAACAGG
rnacentral:rRNA from 1 species